GGGUGAUGGUGGUGAGCAGGACAGAUAGACUCUGCCCACACGAGCGCUUCCUCUCUAGAUAUCAGCUGUCCAGUGAAAUAAGAUUUUAAACCUCAACCUCGUCCACUGAUGGACACUUCCUGAUGGACAUCCACGAAGACAUACAAGUUACUCUGCUUAAAGCAGAUUGAGAGGUUUUCUCAGUUGAAUUAUUGUGCCAGUCGCCAUGCUGAUCCUUGGUGCAUAUAGCAUGGUGGGGGCACAUUGAUUUCACUACUGAAAAACUAAGGCAGAAGCCAGGGGCGCAUUUGAAUCUUUAUAAUAAUGGCGAGAAGAGCAGGAACCACUGUUUUUGCUGGUAAAGAGGUUAACGCCUGGCACAAAGCAAGUGUUGGCUCUCAGAAGGAUCCAGCCCAGCCCAGAAGCGGCCCCAGGCUCCUAUGCACAGACAUCUACACAGCACCUCUCCCAGCAGCUCUCGACACCCUAGGAUUGGAGACAAGUUUCCACUGGAGAGGAAAAUGAGAGCUGCCUGGGUCAAUGGUAACAAGCUAGUCGCCACUGGCUUCUGAGCAAAGGAUGUUCCUUUAGGAAGUGGCCAUCCUCAGUGGGGUGGGUGGAACCUGCUCCCAGAUAUUCCUGAAGCCAUCCACCUCCCAGCCAAGCACCCGAGGACCAGGUGGAUCAUCACAACACAGACUGAAUCCAGGUUCCAUCUUGAUUGUGCACAAACAAUUUCAUCAGGGUCUAUUUAUAGACCAGCUAAACUUGAUGUUCAGCAAAGAGAACUCCAGCAACUUCAGAUUCGUUUGGCAGCUUUAGAAAACCCAGUUCCACUUCCUGGAAUUUCUGAGUCACCUGAUAUGCAUCACACACUAGAAUUAAAAAAUUAGAGUGGCCAUUUUGAAGGGAAUCAUCCUACCACUAUUACAUA